CAAAAGUGUCCCUGAUCUGCUCUGUCUCAUUGCUGAGGGAGAGGGACUGUGACUCAAAGGCUGUCCACUGGCAACACAAAAAACUACACCAAGAGCACUGGUUCAGCUCUGCCGUAUCCAAUUUCUGUCAAGUGUAGAAUAAUAGCUAUCCAGCGAGCUGGGACAUGCUUCACCAGCAUCAAUAGAGUUGUGCUUCAGAGCAUCCCUCGAGGUAGCAAAGAAUUAUCCCCAUUUUGUAAAUGAGGUAACUCAGGCACAGGGAUUAAAGCCAGAAUGUUCCAAACUGGCUGCCUACUGCUAGGUACCUACACCCAUAUUUACGCAACUUGUGGCCUGAUUUUCAGAAGGGCAGGGCAAUGAAAAUUUUGGCCUGAGGGAUUUGUUCACGUACAGUUUACUGGUAACAACGCCCAGGAUGGAAGCCUGGUCUCUGCUACCUGUCUUACACCUUAACCACUGAAAACAUCCUUUCUACCACUAGCCAAGCCUCAGGUGAAGGCUCCUGAGUGUCCCCAUUCGCCAUGCAGAGGUUCAGAGUUAGCAAUGCAGGCUGGCUGCCUAUGUGCUCUCAGCUAUAGACUUUAAAAGAGCAACAGCAGGAGUAAAACUGGCCAUGUCCUGCUCAUGAGGCUCCUGCUCAGCUGCUCUGUAGCUUCCCCCCACCCGGAGGGAGGACAGGCGAGAAGAGGUGAUGACUUUCAACAAAGGUUAAGGCUGGAAAAGAAGGAAGUGUCAGCUCAAUCAGUUUUGGGAGCAUGGAUUUGGAGAUGGACUUGACUCCUACUAAAGUUUGGAAGUCCAGUCUUGGCACCCUCUGAUUUCUCCAGAAGAAGGCUGAGGGCUGGAUCUGAAUCAAUUCUUAUGCUGCAGCUCCUCUCCAUAUUCACAGCAAACCCAGAAGCUUUGUGAAGCUGGCAGUGACACGGCUCCAUUUCCUUCUGCCCAGGUCUGAGGUGCCUCUUUUGGGAUGGGAGCAACUGAGUCUCACCAAUCUGUCAGCAACCAGGAGGAAGCC